rnacentral:rRNA from 1 species
CGCGUAGGCGGCACUGUAAGUCGGUUGUGAAAUCCCUUGGCUUAACCAAGGAACUGCAACCGAAACUGCAGAGCUAGAGUCCGGGAGAGGGUAGUGGAAUUCCCAGUGUAGCGGUGAAAUGCGUAGAUAUUGGGAGGAACACCGGUGGCGAAGGCGGCUACCUGGACCGGUACUGACGCUGAGGCGCGAAAGCUAGGGGAGCAAACA